GGCCUGAUGGUGUAAUGGUAACACAUCCUACAUUCUUCAUGAGGAGCAUUGCAACAUUUCAUGGGAAGACCCUUGUUCGAUUCAAGGUCAGGCCA